CUAAAUCUUUAUACAUUCUUUUUCAACCAGUACUUUUAAAUCUUUGGGACAUUUUACUAAAAAUCUAGGUACUUGCAGUACCAUACUUUGUAAAAAAAUAUUUCGUCAGAGCGGCCGAAAAUUAUCCAAACCACAUAUGCUUUUCUUCAUCUAUCGUAUAAAGAAUGCAAAACUUCGGAAUAAAUGAAGUUAUUUCCGGAUGUUACGCGGAAAAUGCAGAAUGUAAACAAACAUCAACUGCCAUUUCAAAUUAAUAGUGAACUGUCGGAUGAAUUUUGACAGGUAAAUGAACCAAAACAACUUGUAUUUUCAUGGUCACUAAUAGAGUUUUGCAUCGAAAUUUAACCUCAAUUUUCUCCCCGAGAGAGAAAAGAACGGCAACGAAUGGGAAUCAAAACAAACCACCGGAAAAUGUCAAAAUUCGUGUGGGAGAGAAAAGGAAGGGACGAACGAGAAUGAACAAAACGUUCAUUCGUGACGUCAUCUUGCAGUAUCCUAUCUUACAAGUGCUAAUAUUGCAGACUACAUCCCAAAUUGGACUAUCACACUUUUUUUGGCACACCUAAAAAGUGUGAUAAAAGUGCACAUUUGCCUCGGAUCGUCUCGACGUCUUCGGUGCACUUAUUCCUCCAUUUACAAGGAAUAAGUGCACCGAAGACCUCAACUCGAUCCGACGUGACCCUGCACUGCAAUCACACUUUGAAGGUGUGUGCACACUAUUGUGUCAGUCCAAUUUGGGGUGCAGUCAACAAUAAUAUUAGUGGAAAAUUGAGCUUUUAUGCAACACAAAUUAUUAGCACUUGUAAUAUUAGUACUUGUAACUUGUAACUUGUAGCUAAUAUUAUUAGCCCGAUUAUGCUACAGGGCCCUGAUAUCACACACACUAAACUUUCUUUAACAGUAACAGAUACAAUCCAUUUAAUAUGCAACAAUAAUCUUCUCAAAUGUGUGCGUCACAUCAUCAUUGGUUUGCUUUCGGUAUGGACCGUAAGUAAUUGUCUUUGAAAUAUAUGUCAUACGGUUACCAAUUGUGUGGUCGUUCAAUGACCAUUUUUUAGUGUAUUCCGUUGUAAGCAAUCUUGGCAUAAACCACUAGAAAUUAUAAGUGAACAAUUUACUAGAUAUUAACAGUUUGAGAGUUGGUUGAAAAUCAGUUCUUUAUAUUUUCGAUGAUCGAAAUCAAUAUUGUUGAAUUGUAGAGCAACAUUAACUCAAAUGUUAACAUUAUGACUAAUAGCUAACAUAACGUUCGAACUAUUUGUCAAGUUGUUUUUACUAUGCGGGCUGUUAAAUGGUCGAUGUGUUUGUUAUGUCCAUUUUUGUUGAUCCUCAUUUUAAUACUGUUUUUAUGGUUUUUAUUAUCUUUGGAAAUUGUCUUUUGUCCACAUCCCUAGCACUAUCAGCAUCGGUCCAAAUAAUAGAAAUACACUAGAACUCCAAUGGCGCUGUAGUCACUUUUCACAAUUAAUUAUUUUAUAAACUUCAAUUGCAAUAAUUCACUAUUUUCAAGUGUCCUUCUUGUAAAGGACCUUUUGUUUUGGUAAACAAAAUUAACUUGACACUUCUAGUACCGCUGCUGACGCUGUAAGGGCGUGGAAAACUAGAUGUUAGUCACACGAACAGUCGCGACAUUGAACUUCUGUGGCUAGUUAUUCUACUGUCCAAAUGAGUAAUUUUACGAAGUGACAACAAUGUUGAUGAUCAAAUCAAUAUCAAUUUUUACGGGUUAUUGGACGCUAUCUCCUGUCAAAAUUCAUUCAUAAAAUCGGCUCGUAAAAUGGACUAUAAGUCCAAAUUAAAGAAAACUUUUCAUACACUCAGGGUCUGUUCCAAUUGACGAAUUAAAAUUAAUUUUUACUUAAAUUUGACAGUUCGACACUUAAACUUGACAGUUCUCCUAAGGAAAUAAUUAUCGAACUGUCAAGUUUAAGUGAAUAUUAAUUUUAAUUCUUCAAUUGGGACAUACCCUCAGUCGAAAAAUGUAAACAUAUCUAAUUUGUCAUAAAUAGUCUACGUUAGUCAAAGUCGAAGUAAUCAGUUUUUGUCGAUUUCGUCUUGAUCACACGUUAGCUUCAAAUCUAUAAGCAAGCAAUAUUAAAUGCUGCACUUCCCACUAUUAGUUUCUUACUUACUUUUAAUUGAUAUUGCAAGAAAACAGACGCGCCAACAUGGCCAAAUAAUUGGGGGGGGGGGGGGGGGUGGUCCAAAGCCUGAUUUUUCUGAUUUUUUGUAUGGGAAAAUCGAAAAAUCGUCAAUUAUUGGGGGGGCAAAACCAUGCUUGCCCCCCCUAAGUUGGCGCCUAUGCAAGAAAACAUUAUUAAGGCGAAACUGGAAGCAUUUCCUCACUUUUUGGUUUUCUUUUUUUUAUGGGUUUUCAGUUGGAGCUGCGUGACAGCUUGAUUGUCAAGGCUGAACCCGUUAUUCAAAAUUCAUCUCUACCAAGACCAAUGUUUAGACGGAAUAGGCUAUGUUGCCCAAUUUAACACUAGUUUUUACAUUGUGCCUAAGUAGUUUCAACAAAAAUUUUGCAUUUUCCCUCCUGUACAUGUAUUAGUCAUGUCUACCCUCAGUCAUGUGAAGUAUAUGAAGCUAUCAGAAUAAAUCUUUACCCGCGGAACCUGAAGCACCAGGAAUGUUUAUAUCCUUCUACGCUCCAUACAAAUUUCAAAUUUUUUGUAUGGACAAAAGUCUACGAGGGGGGUGGGGUCUGAGAUGGCCAAAUUUUGGUCUACGUGGUUUAUGAACAGCCCCCAAUGAUAGACACUAGUUUUGAACAUGUCAUGGGCUUCCAAUGAUACAAGAUACGAAAACAACCUAACUAUUAAAACAGAGCCAAUCCGUUCAUUUUUCCUAUCAGUCCUACCUAGAUAAACCAAGUCAUUUUCUCCCCCGUAACCUAGAAAUGUCGGCCUAGUCAUACACAAGUAACGUAAAGUGAGUAUUGUAAAUUACUCAAAUUAUUGUAAAUUCAGUAGUAAAUCAAAAUCAACCAAAAAACGUGGGAAAGAAAGCCCAAACAGCAUUUUCAAGUCUACUGGCAAUAAAAAGUUUUCAAAACCUGUCACAAAACCUAUAAUAUUUCUAGUAGGAUUUGUAAGGAUCCUCAAAACCAUCUCAAAUCCAACCAACUUGGAACUAUUGUGACAGAAUGUGCGAACCUCGACGAUGCCGUUGAGAACUUCACGAGUAUUCUUCAAAACGCUUUUACUUUGUUUGUUCCACUGCGACGUCUCCAAAAAAAGCCGCCUUGGUCUAAUCCUGAAUUACGCCGCCUGAGAAGGAACUGCAAAGCAGCAAAAAGAACCUAUCGUAGGCAUCGCACAGAAAUGAAUAAGUUAUCGUUCCAGUUCGCUAGCCGCCAGUAUCGCAGUUUGAAUAUCAGAUUGUAUCGUCGUCAUGCCACCCGUACAGAGCGUAAUCUAAAACAUAACCCUAAAAGAUUCUGGAACUUCGUGAAGUCUAAACGUAAGGAGACUGGACUGCCGUCGUCUCUUCAUUUGGAUCAAAAAGGGCCAAUACGUCAUCGGAUAAGUGCGAACUUUUCGCUUCGUUCUUUAGUUCAGUGUGUAAUAUAGUCAUCAGUUCCGUCAAUAAAACUUUUAAUGUUCUUAGGGUUCAUUCAAAUAUUACGUAACGCAAAAUUUGACAAUUUUAGAUCCCCUCCCUCCCCCACGUAACAACUUUUGUAUGGGAAAUUUUGAAAUUUUGUAUGAAGCGUAACACAGUGCUAGACCCCCUCCCUCCCCCCUCAGCGUUACGUAAUAUUUGAACGAACCCUUAUAUGUGUUGAAAUGACAGCACAUUUCCUUCCGUGUAGCCAAAUUCUAAUACAGCUGCGAUUAUGUAUAAUUUUAUUUCCCUUUUGAUGUGUGCUGCCAUCUGUUUGUGACUUAAUCUGUCUUGAAAUAUUUCGGCAAGAGAAAACGCAUGAAAACUCGUGGGGUGCAUAAGCACAGGCGCAACCAAAAAAAAAUAAGCUAAUCGCGUCGUAGUUAUUUUCCACUAGUCUAUUAUCAUCAGCGAAUUUAAACAGCCAUACUAAUUGGAAAUGGAAAACUACCUGGUAAAUUCUCGCUCUCCAAAACGGACCAAUGAAAAAUAAGUUUUUAACAAAUCCGUACAACAUUGUGCAGUAAUUGCGCCUCAGGUUUUAAGUUCAACCCACUUCGAAUCGCGUUCGUUUGGUUAUUCUGGUGGAGUUUAUUUUACUUCGAGUUUGGUACUUGACUUUGCUAGAUUUCGGUCGAAAAUUUGAAUAAUUUUGUCGGAGUUGUUUGGAUUUCUAGCUGAGACACUUUUUACUGCAAGUUUUUUAUUAUUUCAAAUAGCGAUUUGGGUUCCUUUUCUGUUUAGAAU